CUAAAUGAUAGCCAGUUCUCUUGCGCAAGCGAGAUUGAGCAGGCAUUAACCCUUUGUGAACUGUUGCUGUACUUGGGUACAAGAGUCUCUCGAGACGACGGUACCCGCCUUAUAAACCCCAUAUAUGUUUAACUGAAUGUGAUCUAAGAGAAA
rnacentral:misc_RNA from 1 species